rnacentral:rRNA from 1 species
AUUGAACGCUUGCGGCAGGCCUAACACAUGCAAGUCGAGCGAGCGGCGGACGGGUGAGUAAUGUAUGGGGACUGCCCGAUAGAGGGGGAUAACUACUGGAAACGGUGGCUAAUACCGCAUACUAUCGGAUAACCCAUAUGGGAUUAGCUAGUAGGUGGGGUAAAGGCUCACCUAGGCGACGAUCUCUAGCUGGUCUGAGAGGAUGAUAAGCCACACUGGGACUUAGAAACGGCCCAGACUCCUACGGAGGCAGCAGUGGGGAAUAUUGCACAAUGGGCGCAAGCCUGGUGCGGCAAUGCCGCGUGUAUGAAGAAGGCCUUCGGGUUGUAAAACACUUUCAGCGAGGAUGCGUUACUCGCAGAAGAAUCACCGGCUAACUCCGUGCCAGCAGCCGCGGUAAUAC